UGUCCAGCUGCAGAGGCGAUCUUCUUAUGCGGGCCGGAAUGCGGGGCUCGUUUUUAUGAGAUUUCACGUCCAGCUGGCUUUGGCCAAAGAUGCCAUUUUUGCAAGCACGGGAUGUUCUUCCCGCUAUCUGCUAGUCUGGGCGGGGUGGGGAGGGCGGGCGGUGCUGAGGGCAUGAGUGCGGAGGGGGUGGGCAAGCCCGGGUGCAGUGGUGCUGCGGGGCGAGCCCGGGCUGGAGCUGGCUCUGCAGGCGACUGGAAUGCCAUGUCUGACCGGGGGCUCCCCUCCUGGGCCUGUGCCUGAGCAGCACACAGCAUUCCUUGCGGCCCGCGCCUUUUGGAGUUUCCAGAACUAUCCAGGAUUCUGCAGAUGUGGCUGCGCCCCCAGUCUUAACGCGGAACCCACUUUCCAGUCCUGCUUUAGAUAGCACCGAAACCAGUAAGACCCGCUUCCAGCUUCCUUUUCUCUAGCUGUUCCCAGGCUGUGGGUUCGCGGACUCAAGCAAUUCCGCCCAAAAGGCAGGCGUGGGUAACUGCGUUUUACUUUGCCUCCUGAACACACCUGCACUCACAUUCACGAUCACUCUUCCUAAGGCAAAGCACAUUUUAUGGGCAGAAAAGGGAACAAAAUCAGAGUCAAAGACAGUGCUUACCAAGAAAAAACCAAUCUCACAUUACAUCUUCACCGCGCGCCGGCGAGAAAGAGGGGCAGUGGGUGUUGCUACUUAGGGAGCAGCAUUUUUGAAUCAGAGCUACUCAUGCUUCUACAAGAGCUGACACGAUUCUCUGGGGGUCUUGUGAAAAUGCAGAUUCUCAUUCAUCAGGUGUGGGGCGGGGGUGUUGCUUCUGGGUGAAUCCAGCCCCUAGUUCCACCAUUGCUUGGCCAGAGUGCGCCUUGUACCGCCUUGGAAACCGUCCUGUAGUUGAUGCGUGCCAGUGAAAUACAAAAUUAGGUAAAAGGGUUAUUUUGCAUCAGUUUUCCAACUAGAGUCUCUGUUACUGUGUGGACGCAGGCAGGGCUGUCAGAGACCGCUGCUGUCCUGCCAGGGGGUGAGGGCAACCAGGCCCCCUUUGUAGCCCUGCCUGCUUGUCAGACUAAUGGCCACCGGACAGUUCCCAUCAUCCCCCCAACCAGCCAGGCCCAGCACCCGCAUGGCCAAGAGAGCUUGCGGGUUUCAAGCCCGGUUGCCUGGACUUUGCCGAUGCCAACAGCCACCUGCCCCAAACUUCCACCCUCCCCUGCCGCCCCCUACCACGCUUCCACCUCCGAAGCCAAAAUGAAAGCCCAACAGAUGGGUGCUGGGAAUCGAAUGUGGCGGGCCUGGCCCAUCGUGGAUGUGGCAUACUUGGGAGAGGAAGUCAUGAUUGGGUGGCAAUUUUGACCCUGCUGGUGUUGUAUGCAAGUGGGAUGGUGUGGACACAUCGUGGGGCACACGUGUAGCCAUGCACAUGUGUGGGGUUGGGCUGGCAGGUGAAGAAGAGGGGUGGCAUGGCUGGGCUUGGGACCCUGAUACAUCACUGUGAGGCCACAGUGGGGACGUGCAUUUGACUUUCUCACCCUGCACAGGCAUACCUGACAUCAGGGUUUACAUAACAACACGCAGUCUUAUUGCAAGUGAACACCCUUAAAUUUAAAAAAAAAAAAAAAUUAUAAAAUGCUGUUUCUGAUCCACUAAAUUGAUUUCAGGGCCCACUCUUGAGUCAUGACCCAGAUUUUGACAAAUACUCAAGUACCUUGUGAGCCUUUUCUAAAAUGGAGACUAAUCUAAAAUUUUUCAAUCUAUUGUGGAGUGCAGAGGUCUUUAACGUGAGAAGAUAUUUAAAAAAAUAAUGCACUUGAAAUUGUGAGAUCUUAGGGAAGGGCAUCUGUUUCUUUGGUGAAUUUGGAACAUCUAAGAAAAUGGAAGAACGAAUGAACUAGCAUAUUUACAAACACUUAAGUCCUUGGAUGGAAGAUUUCAGGACAAAUAAAUAAAAAAAAAAAAAGUAUUAUUGGCAGGUGAGGUCCAAGUAGAUACAAGUAACAAAUGUUUUUUGAAAUUAAGAUUUAUAGUAAUAGGAUAAUAUGAUUGAUUUAUAAGGAAGUUUUGAAUAUAUCAGUAAUGGAAAUGAUGAUAAUGUCAAUAUUUACUGAGUCAUUAUAUGCCUACUCUAUUCAGCAUUUUAAUUCAUAAGAUGAUCCAUCAGAACUUGGUCUGUUUAGGAACUUCCCUUUAUUUUCCAAAACAGAAUGUGGCUCUGGGGAGAUGAGGUGUAUUGCUCUGUGUUGCUCUUAUUUCUUAGAGCUGGGAAGAAGUCUUUUUGUUGUUCUUUUAAAGAUUUAUUUAUUUAAGAGAGAGAGAGAGAGAGAGAGAGGGCAAGCAGGGGGGAAGGGGCAGGGGGAGAGGGAGAGGGAACCUCACACAGACUCCCUGCUGAGUGUGGAGCCAGACUCGGGGCUCGAUCUCAUGACUCUGAGAUCAUGAUCUGCGCUGACACCAAGAAUUGGAUGCUCAACCGACUGAGUCACGCAGCACCCCCAGAAGCAGUUUUAGGAUGGUCUUGUCCAGAGAUUUUAAAGUUUUCAACAGGGGCAACACACCAUCGGGGAGCACAGGGAAGGUGUGGCGGGCAGCAGAAAGGGGCUGGUGCCCUGAGCCGCUCUGCUUUGGGAUCCAAGAAGUCUGCCCCAGCUUGGACAGAGAUCGAAUUUGAUCCAGUUGGAUCCAGUUACAGAUUCUGGGGAGGGGGCUCAUACUGGCUCACUGUGUGCGGCCCACUGUCUUCUGGGUCUGGGGUCAUGAAGUGUAAACACGGUGUUCGGGCCUCAACUCCACGGGCACGGUGAAGAGUCUCUGGGAGUCGUGGUCUGCGCAGAUACCUCGAAAUUGUGGAAACCUUUGUUGAAAUAAGAUCUUGUCUGAGAGCCACACACGUAGGAUGGGUAAAGACGAGUUGUUCUGGCAGCGAGUACGGGGACCAAAGUCCUACCAAACGGGCACCCCCUCUGCUGGAGCCUGGAAGUACAGUUUUGAAAACUAUGGAUCUAUUUCUACCCCCUGUUUUUAUAGAAAAAUGAGGCUAAAAAAUGGGGUCAUCUCCUCUGAGGCGUCAAGGCUGGUCCCUCAGAGAAGAUACCGCUGCAACCCGUGGCUGGGACCGGCACCAGGGCCCCAGCUCCUUGUGGAAUGUCCACUCUGCCUCGCUCGUCUCCUCAUUCCCAGUACCACGAACACACCACUGCUGGGGAAGCCUUUUGUUUCUUUUUAAAUUCCUCUUUUUAGAAAGAAAACCACUUUUGUAUUUCUAAGGUGAGUCGAUUUUCACUUGCAGAGUUAAAAAGACAAAAACAAAAACAAAACCCCUACACACAGGGCAGGUAAAGGGGCGCCAGAAGAAGACCCGUGUCCCCGGCCAGGAGGGUGGCUGGAGGGUGCCGGCAGGGCCCCCUCGCCGGACCAAGUCCUGCCCGGCACCCUUCAGUCCUCCUCCCUCCUUCAAACAUAGGCAAGAGUCUGGUGGCCCAGACAGACAGGUUCUGGUCACCGACCUUGUGUCAGGUUGACAAUGUGCUGUGGCGCCUCCCACGGGAUGGGGACUUUCGCCCUCGUGCCUCCUAGAGAUGCCUCACAUGUGGGCAGACAGGCCCGAUGAGGCAGCUUGCAGGAACGGGCUAAACUUGAUGGCCCGUUUCCAUGAGGGUCAUCACAUGUACACUCGGGGACAUCGCCUCCCUCCUGCCUGGCGGGCCGCUCUGGGGAAGGGUGCUCGCCGGCCGCCGGCAGGUAGCAAGCAAAGCCCACGGCUCCUCCAUCCACCAGGUCACGCGGGCUGUCUGGAGGCUCUGCCCUGCUUCUGCACGCAGGGCCACUUGAUGGCACUGUUAGAACUGCAGAACAGAGGCUGCCUCCCUUGAAACAAGCCCCCCCACCCCAUUCUAAUCCUCUCCAAACUGUCAUUUCCACCCACCUCCUUGCAAACAGAGGCAGAAUAAAAUCAUUUCCUAGCCUGUUCCUGCUGGCACAGCCCCCACGCCUUGCAGCCCGUUCCGGGCGGGGCGUGCAGAGUUAGUCCCCCUCUGCCCUCUCUCCCACCCCUGUGCUCCCCACCCUCCAGGCUACUUGCCAGGUCUGUAUCCCUCUCUGUGUCUCCGGGGCCUCUGGGGUUCCAGGCAACCCACCAGAGGAGAAAGGGCCGUGACACGCUUCUAAGAACCUGGGGAUCUAAAAGAGAAAGCAGUGGAAUCCUUCUAGCCGCAGGAGUCGUUUUCUAGAAGCAAGAGGCAGUUAGCCGUGGGGGAGAGCAGAGGCUGCAUGGAGAGGGGUCACUGGGAGAAGGUGCUCGGGUGGAAUGGGAGGAAUGUGCAGACCGUGCAGGAAACGGGCUCUCUGGGGCGGAAUCUUGGCAUUAGGUUGCACGGAUUAAAAGCUUUCUGUUCUUGGCUUCCCAGCUGCCGCAGUGUCAAAAUCCCCCUCGACCCACCGGGUCAAGGGUGGGUGGGGGCGUGGUCAUCGGCGACCCUUGCCUUCAUCCCUUGUUUUGGCCUCUGGUUCCCUGUUCUUGUGGCCACUUCCUCUUUCUCAGAGACGUGAGGCAGGGGGGACCACGAGCUAGAGAAGACGGGGAAAACGCCACUGCCCCACCUUGGCCCCCCGGACUUCGGGUCCGUCCAGCAUAGAGCCACCCGUCGCCGCUGCAGCCUGCCUUCCCCGAGAGGAGGGAGAAAAUGCCAUUGCUUGGGAGGAAUUAGCUGUGAGGAAAGCAUUUUCCUCGAACAGUUACCAGGAAAUACUGUUUUGAUCGAUACUCUCGGACAUGCGGACAUGUGCUGCCCUCCCGGCAGAGUUAUCUGAAGGCUUGUUCAACCACGUCAAUGCUGAUGGGAUGGUCCCCAAGCUCAGAGUGGCCCACACAGCACCGGCCAUGGAGGCCUCUGGGUUUCCCCUCGGGGGGUGCCGGGUGUGCUCCCCACAUCCCGCCUGCCAGCCAACGCGACUUGGAGCGGGGACCCAAGCCCGCUCACCCGCCCAGCGGCAGGUGGGAGGUCAUUCUCUGCUGACUCAGGCCCCAACUGGGGCAGGUGCAUGUCUUCAGCCCCAUGAGUAAUACUGGCUCUUCAUCUUCAAAGGGCCUUCCCAAGAUUAACCAAUUAGUCACCCCCAGGAAAGCUACAAAGCAGGCUAUUAUCAUCUUCAUUAAGCCAGUGGUGGGGGAGGGAGGCGAGUGGAGUCCCCACCCCAGGCUGGUGAGAGUCUGGGUUUGGGCGCAGGUGAGCUGUCGCUUGGGAUGGCCCAGGGUGCCGGAGGGGGUGUGGCGAGGAUGAACCAAGGACAUUCUAAAGAGGAGGCUGGCGCACCUCAGUGGGCAGAAGUCGGGGAAGGCCGGGAGGCCCCAGAGCAGGGGAAGGGAAGGAUUGGAGGGUCUGGGGCCCGAGCAAGGGUGUCUUGCUGAACCGAAGGUGAGUCGGUGCAAAGACAGGCUGACAUGAGCCUGCGCACAGAGGGCUCCGCCGUAGUCCUGAACUUUCCAGAAACCGGGGCUGGUUCUGCCCCUUUGAGCCAUCCAGAUACUUGUGAAAUGAGUCUCGGACCACUUUCCUUUUCACAUCUGCGUGAGGCUUGUGAAUGACUGAAAGUGAUCGCACACGUGUUGCUGAAGCACCUGGCAGACCAGAAGUGUGAUGUGGGGUGUUCGUCGGGGUCCCUGCUGGCCGUGGGUUUGUCCUCUUUCGGACGCAUGAGGCAGGCUAGAGUGUCUCAGGAGGUAGGGCUGUGUCCUGGUGACGGAGUGAGAACGAAGCACCUUCUGGAAGCCAGACAGCAGAGCAAUCCUUUCAGUCAACCCUGUCUGCAGCUGCUUUUUAUAAACUUGGCAUAAAUAUGUGCUUGGGAAUGCCAGGACAGUGUAUCUGGAAAAUAUUUGCUACCCUUCGAAAACACACAAGCGUGCGCGCGCACACACACACACACACACGCUUGGAAAGGGGGGGAAAAAAGAAGCACAACAGAAAUUGCGCAUAAUACAGAGUGGCUUCACUUGUGGUUUUUUUCCAUUACUUCCUCAGUUCAUUUUUCUGCUGCCAAUUUUAGAAGGCCAUAAGUCAUAGUUGUUGUUAAACUUUGUCAGUUAAAAUGUAACUCUAAGAACAAGUCAUAUGAUAUGUUGUAGCCAAAUGGCCUUUUGGAGGGAAGUUGUGGAAGGCACAGCUCCCGAGUGAGUCCCGCUGUCCCCCGGUCUCCUCUGCUGGAUGUUCGCUCUGUGCCCACCGGUCGUCCUGGCCCGCUUGGUCCCGGAGCUGUCAUUAAUGCCACAGCUCUAAAGGGCCACCUCCCAGAAGAAAGGUGACAUGUUGAGUUCAGUUUCCAACAUUUGCUUCAUGUGACCCAGGAGCAAAAUGUGGUCUCAUUAAGGGUGAUUUGUUACAAACCCCCUACUCUGCUCUUCUAGAAACAAUGGGAUCCACUUUCUUAUAAACCUUGACCCGGUGGAGUCAGAAAUUAAGAGGCCAAAAGGGAGGAUUGGCUCUUGGAGGCUGGGAGUGCCCAACCUCUUCGCACCUGCACAGAGCAGCAGCAGACCCACGACUGGCAGGCAGCCCAGACCAUGCCUCAGGGCUCUGGGGCCUCACGCUGGACUGGCGACCUUCUGAGGGCAGGGCCCUGGCUUUCCUCAGCCGUCCUGGUGUUGGAGGUAAGGCCAGGAGCACAGGCAGAGCUUACACAUGCUACUGCUUAAAACCAAGCUCAAAAGGGGCACCUGGGUGGCUCAGUGGGUUGGGCAUCUGCCUUCGUCUCAGGUCAUGAUCCCAGGGUGCUGGGAUCGAGUUCCAUAUUGGGCUCUGCUCCGCACCGGCCUGCUUCUCUCUCUCUCUCUCUCUCUGUGUGUGUGUGUGUCAAAUAAAUACAAUCUUAAAAAACAACAACAACAAUAACCGAGCUCAAAGACAAACACCAGCAGGGCUGUCUGCACAAUCAGCCUGCAGUGGGGCAAGGCAGGGGGUGGGGGCUUCUCCUCUUUCCAGUCCUGUCUUCUCCCUGUGCUGCUGUGCAUUUUCCUUUCCUCAGUCUGACUGUCCACAGAAGGGGUCUCAGAGGAGAAUGGGGGAAGUCAUGGUGGGUAUUAGGGAGACUUUGUCAGUAGCCAGGCUCCUCAACUGGGAGGCAGGGUGUCCUCUUCAUGAGGCCAUAGCAGAACCGGGACCGUUGUUCUGAGAAGCAGAUCACUGCUUUCAUCCACGAGCCCAUCCAGGAAGUUAUGGGAGAGACUGACAGCUCUGAUUCCAGACUCUACCCCUGACUUGCCAUGUGACUUUUGGGGACAAGCAGGGCCCUCGCAGUUGCUGAGUGCCCAUCCACUGCGUGGGGUGGUGGGGGGGGGGGAGAGAUGCUCCCCAUACGCUCCGUGUAGUACCUCAUUGGGACCGCAAAGGCCACUCCAUUGCCUGGUGGCGAGGUCCUCCGGGCCUCGGUGCUGGCUGUUGGAGGGAGCUGGCGCCCCAGUCUCAGAAUGAAACCCUGUAGGUGCUAGCCUGCUCCAGACUGCCCCCCCCUUGUCAUUCUGGCCCUUCUUUCCUCUUGCAGGGUGGGAGGCUCUUGCUCAUUUCUUCAUUCCUUCAUUCACCCGCCAAGUGCAUACCACGGGGCUCCUGUGCUCAGGGCUGUGCACGGCUGCUGCAUCCGUCAGUGAGCAAGGAAAGUCCCUGUCUUCAUGGUGUUUGCACCCUCGUCGGGGAGACAGGCCGAUGGAUGUGAGCCAGCUCCUCCCACAAAGAGCUUUGCGUAAGAUGCUGACUACAACAACGGAGAGGAGGAACAGAUUGCUAAGAGAGCACACGACAGGCAAGAUCGCUUUGCUGCAGGAGCAGCCGAGGUGCCCUUGGAUUUGCUGCUUAACCUCCUAGAGCCUGCCCUGUGGAAUGGGCACAUCGCCACGGGCUUCACAGAGCUGCUGUGGGAAGUGGGGAAACUGAUGGAUGUGGAAAAGCACUUUGACAGAACAGUGCAGCCUUCCUGGAAGAAAGCAAACAAAAACAAGUGUGACUGUUUAAAAAAUUAUUGGAAAACCCGUUCUGAACACUCUGGCCUUGAGUGGCUCUCCUGGGCAGAGGAUGCGUCACCUGCUGCUUCCCUCUCCCCUCACCGCUCCCCCGAAAUCUGUGGGGAGGGGGUGGGGCAGCGUGUGGCCUUGAAGGAGGAGGGAGCUGACUCUGGAGGCAGCCCCAUGACCAGGCCCUCUCGCACACCCGUGUGCACCUGACACGCACAGACACAGAGGGCAGCCCACGUGUGUGCCCCUGAAAUCAGAGAAUUCUCUGCCUCCAGAGUGCAAGCCGGCUUCUGCCCUGAGUGUGGGGGACUAGUUUGGGUUUCUAUGGGGGACUAGUUUGGGUUUCUAGGUGUUCUCUUUUGAUUUGCAGCAUCCUUGGCGCUGUUAUUAGUAACCCCGUUGGCCAGGCGGAGGCUGAGGAUGAAGCCUUUUCACUGCAGCCAUCUGGUCAGAUGCUUUCCCUUUGAUGAGGGAGGAACCUUCCCCGUACUUCAGCUGGAACGCUGCCUCCCAAUUAAGGUGACAGCAGAUGCCAAACGGAGCAGGAGCAGGAUGCUGGGCCAGGCUCGAGAGCGUGGCUGGGCCGGGAGGGAGCCUGCCUCGCGGCCUGAUGGUGCCAGCGCGCAGGGACACAGCCCGGAGAGCCUCCGUCAGGUGCAGACCGGCGGGGCUGGCUCCGCUCAGGUUUUCCACUGUCGGGUGGUGACAGCGAUGCAUCACAGACACCCUCAGGAGACGCUCCUCUGCUUUCAUAACAAUGAAGGAUUUUUUUCCUCUGACUCAUCUUCAGAAGAUCCCCCCCUCUUCUUCAUUUGAAAAUAAAUAUAAUUAGUAACA